rnacentral:rRNA from 1 species
UGGGGAAUAUUGGACAAUGGGCGCAAGCCUGAUCCAGCAAUGCCGCGUGUGUGAAGAAGGCCUGCGGGUUGUAAAGCACUUUCAGUGGGGAGGAAGGCCUCGGCGUUAAUAUCGUCGAGGAUUGACGUUACCUACAGAAGAAGCACCGGCUAACUCUGUGCCAGCAGCCGCGGUAAUACAGAGGGUGCAAGCGUUAAUCGGAAUUACUGGGCGUAAAGGGCGCGUAGGUGGUUAAUUAAGUCAGAUGUGAAAUCCCCGGGCUUAACCUGGGAAUUGCAUUUGAAACUGAUUGGCUAGACUACGGGAGAGGGAAGUGGAAUUUCCGGUGUAGCGGUGAAAUGCGUAGAUAUCGGAAGGAACACCAGUGGCGAAGGCGACUUCCUGGCCCGUUACUGACACUGAGGCGCGAAAGCGUGGGGAGCGAACA